AACGAACGCUGGCGGCGUGCCUAACACAUGCAAGUCGAACGGAGUUAAGGAGCUUGCUCUUUAACUUAGUGGCGCACGGGUGAGUAACGCGUAGAUAAUCUGCCUGAUGAUCUGGGAUAACAUUUCGAAAGGGGUGCUAAUACCGGAUAAGCCCACGACGGCCUUGGUCGACGCGGGAAAAGGGGGGGACCUUCGGGCCUUCUGUCAUCAGAUGAGUCUGCGUACCAUUAGCUAGUUGGUGGGGUAAAGGCCUACCAAGGCUACGAUGGUUAGCUGGGCUGAGAGGAUGAUCAGCCACACUGGAACUGCGACACGGUCCAGACUCCUACGGGAGGCAGCAGUGGGGAAUUUUGCGCAAUGGGCGAAAGCCUGACGCAGCAACGCCGCGUGAGUGAUGAAGGCUUUCGGGUCGUAAAGCUCUGUCAAUGGGAAAGAAGUGCAUUAUGGCUAAUAUCCAUGAUACUUGACGGUACCCAUAAAGGAAGCACCGGCUAACUCCGUGCCAGCAGCCGCGGUAA
rnacentral:rRNA from 1 species